UACGGAGGGUGCAAGCGUUGCUCGGAAUUAUUGGGCGUAAAGGGUAGGUAGGUGGUCUCAUUUGUCUGGGGUGAAAUCCUUGGAGCUUAACUCAAGAAGUGCCUCAGAAGCGGUGAGACUAGAGUUCUGGAGAGGGUCGUGGGAUUCCCGGUGUAGCGGUGAAAUGCGUAGAUAUCGGGAGGAACACCAGAGGCGAAGGCGGCGACCUGGACAGAUACUGACACUGAACUACGAAAGCGUGGGGAGCAAACAGG
rnacentral:rRNA from 1 species